GAUGAGGUGGCUGAGUGGUUAAGGCAAUGGACUGCUACUCUAUUGUGCUUUGCUUGUGUGGGUUCAAAUCCCAUCUUUGUCA